rnacentral:lncRNA from 1 species
UGUGCAUCCACUUAGCUAUAAAUGUCUCUAAUUUCUCGUUCUUUAUGGCUGAGUAGUACUCCAUUUUAUUAAAAAAAAAAUCUUUAUCCAGUCUCCAGUUACUGGGCAAUUGGGCUGUUUCCAAGUUUUAGCUAUUACAAACCGCCCCUAUAAACAUGGGUGCACAUAUAUCACUGUGGUGUGAUUCUUUUAAUUCUUCUGGGAAGAUACGUAGUAGAGGAAUACCUGGGACAAAUGAGACUUCCAAUCCUAGUUGUUUGAGGUAGCUCCAUAUAGAUGUCCACAGUGGUUGCACCAGUCUACACUCCCACGAACAAUGAAGAAGGGUUCGUUUCUCCCCACAACCUCAGCAGCACUUGUUAUUGGUUGAUAUCAUGAUAGCAGCCAUUCUUUCUGAAGUGAGGUGGAAUCAGCAUUGUUUUCAUCUCCAUCUCUCGAAUGACCAGUGAUGUUGAACAUUUUUUCAUAUAUUAAUUUGCUGCUUUUACUUCUUUGACAAAUGUCAAUUUCAAUUCCACCGCUCCCAGGGCAGAGGAGGUGAGCCAAUCCCAGCGCCCAAGAGGAGGCUCCCCAGUCGCCAUUCCACUGCUCCCAGGGCAGAGGAGGUGAGCCAAUCCCAGCACCCAAAAGGAGGCUCCCCAGCCCCCAUUCCACCACUCCCAGGGCAGAGGAGGUGAGCCAUGCAGGCACCAGCAGCACCUCGCCCCCAGCAUGGAAAUGAAAAGACAUGUAAACAAGCCUCAAACACAGACUUCCAUAUCACCUAGAGCAACCCCAAAGGGAAAUGAGAUGGAACACUCUGAUACUCAACCACCUGGACUCUCUGAACUGGCAACAAAAGAGGAUCUGGGAAAAAUGAAAUCAGAAAUAAUUACUCAGAUAACAACAAAGAUUGUGCCCAUAGUGCAAGACAUGAUUAAUAAAUCUAGAGAGGACACAUAAAAAAAAUAGAGGAUCUGAGGAACAUGAUGGAAUCCCAACAUAGAAACAAAUGGAAUCCAUAAAACAGAUGCAAACAGAUUUCCAGGAGAUUAAAACUCCAUCGAAAGUCUGCACAGCAGAAUGAACCAAUGUGAGGAUAGAAUUUCACAUAUACAAGAUAAGAUUGCAAAUAGUGACCACGAAAAGAAAAAUUGCUUUAAAAUAGUAAAGGAAAAUGAGAAAAUCAAUCCAGCAGCUGCUAGAUGAUGCAAAGAAGAAUAACAUAAGACUGAUCGGAGUCAAUGAAGAAAGAGGAGAGAGUGCAGAUGACAUUAAAAAAAACUGUUCACAGAAGUGAUGGCAGAAAACUUCUCAAGGAGGGGAAAAGAACUUGACAUACAGAUAAGUGAGGCAUAUAAGACUCCAGCUAGCCUUGAUCAAAAAAAAUCUACACAUAGGCUUAUAAUAGGAUUCCAGAAAUCCAACAGAAGAACAAAAUUCUACAAGCAGUGAGAGAAAAGAAACAAAUCACAUACAAAGGAAAGCCCAUCAGAAUCACAGCAGACUUCUCAGUGCAAAUCCUGAAGGCAAGAAGAGCUUGGAGUGAUGUAUUUCAAGCCCUAAAGGAAAACAGCCUCCAGCCCAGAUUGAUGUACCCUGCAAAACUUCCUUUCAAAAUUGAUGGAGAAAUAAGAUACUUUCAUGAUAAAGAGCACCUCAGGAACUUCAUGAAUACCAAAUCAGCACUCUAAAAAAUUUUAGACAAUACCCUAGGAAAAGACAAUGAGGAUCACAACCCCAGGAAGCCCAGCAGAAUGAAUCUAUUGGGCGUGACAAACUCAAAGGGGGAGAAUCCAACAAAAAGAAAAGUCAUGACAAGGCUUUUGAAACUUUUAACUUCAUCUCCCUAAUGAGUGUAUAAUUCAGUGUUGUUAUUGUACUGAUUAGUAUUUUUCUGAUUCUAGAGUUGCACACCUUUCCUUGUGCUAUACUGGCUAUUUAUCAUUUUAUCAUCUUAUGUCUACAUUUUAAUUGGGUUGUCUAUUAAUGAGCUGUAAGAGUUCUUUAUAUAUUCUGGUCACAGGUUAUAUGCAUUGUAAAUACGAUCUGUUUAAG